AUCAUUUGUUCAUUUCAUAUAACAUUUUGAGAGAGGUAGGGAGAGAAAGUUCAAAGAGAAUGAAAAAAAGGGUUAGAAGAGAGAAGACUUGAAGAAACAAGAGUUAGCCGGUGAAACGCACAUGUAUACUCUACUGCACUCAUAUGUAGUCUAGGUGUAUACAUAGUUGAGGCAUUGGAUCUUGUUUUCUUGGUCUUGAUUUAUUUGUUCCAAUUAUUUUAAAGUUGUAAAAUGAGAGAUGAACUUUGUCGAAAAUAAUCUUUAAAGACCAAAUACAUGGCAAAUCUUUUGUGGAUA